GGGAGAACUCUGAGAUGAUCCAAGUCCAAGCAUUCACCCAGUGCUGCUAAUCCCCCUGCAAACCACCUCGGGUGACGGCAGCACCACCUGCCCCAGCUGGGGAAUUGUGCCUGGAAGCACAGCAGGGAGCAGGACAGGCAGAAGGAGGAGUGGGAGCAGGCCAGGGAAAGGAAAAUGAGGACAGGGUGCCAGGAUGGAGGUGCAGAAAACAAAAUGAAUAGGCAGCACAACAUACAGGGAUUCAAAAAUAAUAAGGGCAGGGAACAGGACAGAAAGAUACAGUAAGAUAAAAUGGUACAGAGAACACAAUGGAGCAGCAGAGAAUAAAAAAGAGGGAUCAUGAAAGAGGCAUGGAGGACAGGUUAAAAGGACAGACAGCUAAAAGGACAGAGCAACAGGGAAGGGGUGUCAGGGACGAGGACCCUGAGCCACAAUGAGAACAUGAGGGGCAGUGUGGUAAGCACACACUAUUUUUAUUUCCUUCAAAUAAAUUAUCUCUUACAUUUUCAAACCUUUUAUUAUUUAAUUUACAUAUAGAAAAGUUAUGUUUAUAUUUCCAAACCCUAUGUAAUUAUAAUGAUAAUUUCUUAUAUUCUAAAAUAUUGUAUAUAAUAGACAUAUUCUUAUUUUGAAGUCAGUUAGUAUAUAAAUUAGUAGUACUUCAUGUACAAAAAUGAGAAACUUUACACUUUUUAAUGCAUAAAUUAAUAUGAGCAGAAAUUCCAUAUUUAUUUAGGGCCUGAUGAUGUCCAGAUCUACACAAGCACACUGUGACAGUAGUGUUUAUUACUAGCUGCAGUUCAUACUGGCACAGAUGGCAUUGGGCAGGAGGGGCACUGAGACAGAAUCACCACUGGUGAACUCGGGGAGAACAGCAGUGACACCAAGAUGUGCCCAUCAGAGCCUGAAGUGUGGUGCCUGGAGCAGUGGAUGGAUAUUUUCACCUUCCUUGAUGUGCUCCCAGUGGCACCUCACAUUCCCAGCCUUGAGAAUCCUGAG